rnacentral:tRNA from 5 species
UGGUGAGUAGCACAGCGGUAGUGCAAUCGGCUGUUAACCGAUCGGUCAGUGGUUCGAUCCCACUCUCACCAGCCA